rfam:Gossypium hirsutum cultivar TM-1 chromosome 11, whole genome shotgun sequence
AUUCCGUGAUGAGGGCAUUUCUGUAAUAGUUCUUUGUAUCAUUCCCAUGCCUUAUAUAAGGACUCAUCAUCCAUUUAUUAGAAGGCGGUGAUCUCGUUCCUCUAACU